rnacentral:rRNA from 1 species
UACGUAGGGGGCAAGCGUUGUCCGGAAUUAUUGGGCGUAAAGCGCGCGCAGGCGGUCAUGUAAGUCUGGUGUUUAAACCCAAGGCUCAACCUUGGGUCGCAUUGGAUACUGCAUGGCUUGAGUACAGAAGAGGAGAGUGGAAUUCCACGUGUAGCGGUGAAAUGCGUAGAUAUGUGGAGGAACACCAGUGGCGAAGGCGACUCUCUGGGCUGUAACUGACGCUGAGGCGCGAAAGCGUGGGGAGCAAACAGG